rnacentral:rRNA from 1 species
ACGGUGAGGGAUGAAAGCUGGGGGAGCAAACCGGAUUAGAUACCCGGGUAGUCCCAGCUGUAAACGAUGCAAACUCGGUGAUGCGUUGGCUUGUGGCCAGUGCAGUGCUGCAGGGAAGCCGUUAAGUUUGCCGCCUGGGAAGUACGUACGCAAGUAUGAAACUUAAAGGAAUUGGCGGGGGAGCACCCCAAGGGGUGAAGCGUGCGGUUCAUUUGGAGUCAACGCAG